GGAUCUAGCAGUUACUCAGUCUCACGC
rnacentral:piRNA from 1 species